UUUGUACAUUCCCAAAUCUUGGCUUUCUUCCUAGUUCUUCUACUCUUUCAGCAACUCUGAUGCCAUACAGAAGCUGGGCUUCCCUAGUCCUAUUUUGUCAGGGUUAUGGACAGAAGAACACCCAAGGAUGCAGCCCCCGGUGCAAUGAAGAUGGCCCUGGGUACACAGAAUGGAUCAAAUUCAGCCCCAGGUAAAUUGGACAGACCAAUUUGGCCCCAGGACCAAUUUGAACAUUUCAAGUCAGAUGAGCAUUUCAAAUUAGACUAAUUCUGGUAACAAGUGGAAAUUCUACCUGUUCCAGUAAUGAACAGAAAAGGCACCCAUAUUUUGUUUUUUUUCCCCCCCUCUAACUUUCCUCCUACUUAUCUUCAUUCUUUGGGCUAUUCCUCCUUUUCUCUCUUUUGUUGGCAGUGUUAUUAUAUGCAUAUUAUAGAGAAAUUUUCAAUAUUUACUUUUGGCCGUUGUUUUGAAGGACUUGGGAUUUUCAGGUUUUCACAAAGCAUAUACAAUUGUUUAACAUUGUUAGAUAUGUGUGGAGGCUUUUUUAUUUUAUUUAAAAUUCUUGAAAUGGUAAACAUUUUUGAGGCCAAUCAAAUUAGCUGACACUUUAGUGGAGGUAUUUUAUAUACCCCCAAAGCUGAGUGUAGAGUAAACUGAUUUGAUUUACUGUCAGGUUCUUAAAAUGUUGACAUUAAAGCAGGUAAAAAUCAGUGUGGUUUUCUUCAUGGGGGGUUUCACUUUGACUUUCAGCAUCGAAUCUGAGGGUUUGGUGAACCCAGAAAUGCAAAGUGAAACUUGGGAGUGCGGGUGCAUAUCAAGCCAAACAGACUUCUAUGAAUGAAGCUGAGUUCCAGUUAAGCUUCUUAUCAGCUCACACAUUUGUUAGCUGUCACCCUCCCCACUUCAGCAAAUGUAUGGUCCCCUGUCUUUAGGAACUUGAUNUUCUGCUCUCCCCUUUUUCAUGUUGCCUCUUAGAGCCAUCUGAGUGUCAUUGAACGGUGGGAAGACAACUACAGAAGGUGGCUCAGGGGUUGAGUCAGGAAACCCAAUGUGGAAAUGAAACCACAACCCUGACUUAUAUAAGUGCUGGCCAGUUGGAGGCCAAGGGAAGAAGGCUCCCAGAGAAAUGACCCUCAUGUGAGCCCCAGCACCUCUGUCUCUUUGUGCCCACUAUCAGGCACGCUUGGUGCAAAGUGCCCGCUUUGCACCCCAGGUUUUGUUCUGAGGGCCCUGGAGCUUCCACCUUGCAGCAUUGACACCUGUGGUCUUGUAACCUAGGCUACAGAAAUAGCAAGUGGGUACGCAGAGGGCAAGUUGAUGAGACAGACAGCACUGGGUACAGCCACUCACAGUGGAGCUCAGUGCUGAAAACACUUGAGUUGAGGACAUCGUGUACUAAUUCAAGGUUGCCCCCCUUUUUUUGUCUCUCAAACUUUUCAAAACAGGAAGAAAGUUUUUUCUUCAACUGUAGGCACCAGUAAUAACCUAGGUCCUUCUAGAGAGAUCUAUUUGGAAGCCAUCCAAGAAAGCUACCUUCACUAAGGGGAUGCUAAUCACUUUUUUUUGGUCUCUUUCUUCUUGUUUUUUUUUUUUUUUUUUUUUUAAACUCUGGGCUUCUGGUAGCAGUUUGAAAGGUUGGCACAAGGCCAUCUAAAAACCACAGAGGGGUGUUAGGUAAUCAUGUUCUCAUUAAAAUGCUGUUGUGUGGUUUAAUUUUCAACGGUUUCUUUGCAGCUUGGAAACACACUAUAUUUUUUGAGGCAAGGAGAAAUGGCUCUGUUAUACAGGCAAAAAGGCAGGAAAAGGGGCUGCUUAUAAAUUACUUCCUUAUAUGUUUCCAGAAAAAAAUACCAGCCACUUUCAUUCCAGGGAAGGUAACUGAGCCUAAGGUUGGUUGGUACUUCUGAGCUUCCUGGAGAUUGAUGAUGUUUAAUUGACUCUGGGGACAAAUGCUUCAAACAUAUUUGAAGACUCUGGAGAGACUGAAAGUAUCAAAUGGGGGCUGGGAGUGUAGCUCAGUGGUAGAGCACUAGCCCAGGUAACAUGCAUGAGGCCCUGGGUUCUGUCCCCAGCAUUGUCAAAAAAAAAAAAAAAAGUAUCAAUAGUAUGACCAUUCCUCAACUUGAACAUUAAAGUAAGCAUUUUUAUAAGUAGUUAGGAAGUGCCAAGCAUUAGACUAGGCCUCAAAGACAGAGAGAUGGAACAGAGAGAUGGAACAGAGAGAUGAAGGUCUUAGUCCACAAGGAAAUCAUAAUGGGGGGGUUAUGUGGGGGAUGGCAGAUGCAUAACAGCAACAUGAACUAUAGGAUCAUCUAGCCAUAUAUAUUUUUUUUCAUCUUCAUCCUCAUGGAAUUUCCACAUAGGCCUUUUGAAUUUUAUUAGUAAAGACAGAAAACUAAAUCCCAGGGUUACCAUUUUAUUUGGGGAAAAAAGGUGGGUGGGGAAUAGUAGAGCAUCCAAGAGUUCUCAUUUCCACAAAAGGGAGGACUUUUUGGCUUUAAGGUAACCAGAUUUUGAUUUCAAGGGUAAGAUUGGUUGUGUUCUGUCAAUGGUGGGUGUCCUCGACCCCUCCCUGGCCACCCCCACCUUGAUGAUGGUGGGGAGUUCCAACAGUCUUCUAGGAGCUGCCCUUAUUUCCCCUAGCUCCUGUUUUCUUUGUCUCCAGCCUUCCUGACUGACCUAUUCCCACCUGGCUCAGCUCUCACUCUGUUACUUUGACCUUGGUCUUUAACUUGGCCACUCCUGCUCUGCUGUUUGUACAUUCCCAAAUCUUGGCUUUCUUCCUAGUUCUUCUACUCUUUCAGCAACUCUGAUGCCAUACAGAAGCUGGGCUUCCCUAGUCCUAUUUUGUCAGGGUUAUGGACAGAAGAACACCCAAGGAUGCAGCCCCCGGUGCAAUGAAGAUGGCCCUGGGUACACAGAAUGGAUCAAAUUCAGCCCCAGGUAAAUUGGACAGACCAAUUUGGCCCCAGGACCAAUUUGAACAUUUCAAGUCAGAUGAGCAUUUCAAAUUAGACUAAUUCUGGUAACAAGUGGAAAUUCUACCUGUUCCAGUAAUGAACAGAAAAGGCACCCAUAUUUUGUUUUUUUUCCCCCCCUCUAACUUUCCUCCUACUUAUCUUCAUUCUUUGGGCUAUUCCUCCUUUUCUCUCUUUUGUUGGCAGUGUUAUUAUAUGCAUAUUAUAGAGAAAUUUUCAAUAUUUACUUUUGGCCGUUGUUUUGAAGGACUUGGGAUUUUCAGGUUUUCACAAAGCAUAUACAAUUGUUUAACAUUGUUAGAUAUGUGUGGAGGCUUUUUUAUUUUAUUUAAAAUUCUUGAAAUGGUAAACAUUUUUGAGGCCAAUCAAAUUAGCUGACACUUUAGUGGAGGUAUUUUAUAUACCCCCAAAGCUGAGUGUAGAGUAAACUGAUUUGAUUUACUGUCAGGUUCUUAAAAUGUUGACAUUAAAGCAGGUAAAAAUCAGUGUGGUUUUCUUCAUGGGGGGUUUCACUUUGACUUUCAGCAUCGAAUCUGAGGGUUUGGUGAACCCAGAAAUGCAAAGUGAAACUUGGGAGUGCGGGUGCAUAUCAAGCCAAACAGACUUCUAUGAAUGAAGCUGAGUUCCAGUUAAGCUUCUUAUCAGCUCACACAUUUGUUAGCUGUCACCCUCCCCACUUCAGCAAAUGUAUGGUCCCCUGUCUUUAGGAACUUGAUUUAAAAUAAGAUACAUUGCUGACCACCAAAUAGAAUGGCCUUUCUAACCCUUCUCAAAGUCCAUGCUCACCUGGACUACUUUAUUUAAGCCAUAGAUAUCAUCUUUUUUUUUUUUUUUCUUUUUUAAGGUGCUGUAUUUUUAAGACCUUACUGUCCUCUGUCUUCUGGAAGAUUGGAGGAAGAGGAGGAAAGGUGAACCUGGCAGAAUACUUACCUACUUAUCUUUGUGUGGGUAAAGGCACAUGAUAAAGAGACCUUGCUCCUCUCCAUUGACUGUAGCAGCUCUGGAAAGCAACGUAAAGGCUGGGGAGUGUGAAGGAAGGGAGGCCCUAGCACCACAAAAAUGUGUUCUUCAAUCUUGACAUAUUUGAUAAGCUGGGUUUAAGUAAAUCAAUAAAGUACAGUAGUUCCACUUUUGUAGUUUUGCUUCCCAAGUUUUCAGUUAUCCUCAGCCUACCACAAUCCAAAAAUAUUCAGUGGAAAAUUCUAGAAAUAAAUGAUUUGAAAGUUUUAAAUCGUGGGCCAUUCUGAGCAGUGUGAUGAAAUCUCACACCAUGCCAUUCUGCCUGCCCAGAGCAUGAAUUGUUCUCUGUCUGGUGUAUCCAGGUAUCCAGGUUGUAUACAUUAUCUACCUGUUAGCCACUUAGUAGUCAUCUCAGUUAUCAGAUUGACUGUAUUGUAUUUCAGUGCUUGAAAUUUAAGUAACCUGUACUUUAUUAAUAGUGGUUUCCAAACAAAAGAGUAGAAAUGCUGGUAAUUCUGAUAUAUCAAAGAGGAGCUGUAAAGUGCUUCCUUUACAAGGGGAUAGUUCUCCACUUAGGGGAAUAAAAAGUCUUAUACUGAGGUUGCUAAAAUUUGAAGUAAGAAUGAAUCUUCUGUCUGUGAAACUAUGAAGGAAAAAGAAAUCUGUGCUAGUUUGGCUGUUGGACCUCAAAAUGGCAAAGUUAUAGCCACAGGGCAUAAUAAGUGCUUCAGGUGGAAGAGGCUUUAAAUUCAUGGUGAAAGACAUGAACAGAAAAUAUGCUCUGAUUGACAGCAAUGUGUUGUGUGUCAGAAAGCAUUGAGCCUAUAUGAAGUGUUCAGCAAGGGAUCCUCUGAAAUGGGUGCCUUUUAAUGCAAGCCUUGUAAUGCAAAAAGCAAUGGUUACACAGAUUCAGGAAUAGGUGUGGAUUGAAAAAUAAGAAAAUGACUGGAGAAACUGUAUCUGCCAUUGAAGAAGCUGUUGCCGUAUUUCCAACAGAGCUGAAGAAGUUGAUUAAAGAGAGGGGACACUGUUCAGAACAAGUCUUCAAUUGUCUUAAAAGUGGGCUCUUCUGGAAGAAGAUGCCUAAUAGAACCUACUUUCAUAAAAGUAUAAAGGAGACAUUGGGGCACAAAACAUGAAAGGACAGAUUAACUCUGGUACCAUGUGGCAACAUGGCAGGGCACAUGAUAAAGCCAGGCACAGUGUACAGAACAAAGACCACAUAUAUUCUCAAAAAUAAAAACAAAAAUUUUAUUUUGAGAGAGAUCACAUUUACAAAAAAAAAAUGCAUUACGGUGUAUUGUUAUAAUUAUUCAAUUUUAUUAGUUGUUAAUUUCUUACUGUGCCUAAUUUAUAAAGUAAAUGUUAUCCUAUGUAUGUACAUAUAGGAGAAAACAUGGACAUAUAGGUCUUGAUACUAUCUAGGGUUUCAGGCAUCUGCAAUCUCCAUGAAUAAAGGAGUACUAAGGCAGUGUUAUAGAAAUCCACCCAAUGUUUUGCUACUUAGUGCACAUUUAACACAUUGAAUGCUUCCUCACUCAGGCUCCAGAAUUUUUGCAUACAAGUGGAAAAUGUAUAGAGGAAUCUUUCAUUUUCAUAAUACUUUAAACAGAUUCAGUGUUCAAGGCGUAAUUUUUGUUGUUUGCCUGUGCAAUGAAUGUGCCCCUUAGAUCCUUAAAUUCUUUGAGUCUGGGUACUCGAUUCUGAAAGCAGCUCUUUACCAACACUUCAUCCUCAACUGCUUGCUUACAGUUGUUAAAGUUUAGCUAUGGAGGGAUCAAAAUCAGAGAUUCAAUGGCAAGGUGUUAUUGUCUUGGCUCCAAGAGAGAGUUUAUACGUACUGGGAAUGUUAGACAUGAUUGACAGAGAUGUGUGUGUGAGACUCAAGCUCCUUGCUCUGUUUUGCCAUCACAAAGAACCCUUUCCCUUUGAAAUCUAAGAAGGUCCCCGUCUCUUAGCUUGUGGAGGGAAUUAGGCAGCAAAUGACCAUGAACAUUUUUUUUUAAUCGGUUAAAGCUUUAAUUGAUACAGCGUUCAUGAAGCAUUUAGGAAUUUCAGAAAGCUUUUACUUACUUUCCAAAUGCAGCCACCUGUAGAGUGACAUUCAUCCGCAAAGGUGCAUGAUUUUCUUUAAACUCUCUGAUCUUAACUUGGUUACUAUUUAAACUUAUUUAAAUAGACUAUAAAUUCAUUUUAAAUAUAAUUAGAUGAAAUUAGGCGAAAACUGACCAAAUGAUCAAAGGCUUUCUUUUUCUUUCUCUUUUCCUGGCAACAAUUCAGAACAGAAUCUUGCACAGAGGUUAGUGAUUCCGUGGAACAAAGACUUUGUAUUUGACUUGCAGAAAUGGUUGAGCAAAUAUUCAGGCUGAAAGCUCUCUUAAUGGCCUGGGGUCGGGGAGUCUACAAUCGGGAAGGCCCAGGUGGAUCUGAGCUGGGAUGAGUGCUUUCUUGGCAGGGAGCCCAUUCUCAUGAUGAAAGCUGGGAAAAUUUGCUUGGGGAGAGUAAUCCAAUGAUACCAAAGGAUUAGGCAGGCUUACAUUUAGCAAACUGUAAACCAUGACUCUGUAUGGUGGACCUCUUCCCCAGUCAGGCAGCUGCUUUGCUCAGAGAAUAGAGCAACUACAAUUAAAUAAGAGGAGAAACUAAAGAGAGAGGGUGAGAGGAAGGAAGUGCCGGGUGUUUCAAAAUGAUAUUACACCCAGACAAACCAAUUUGCCAGCCCUCAGUGCUAACAGAAGACUUGCCCAUAUCACCCCAUAGACAAGUGGACACUUCUAUCACCUUGAAAGGGCAGACUCCAAGUUCACUUUCUACCCCUUUGUCCUAUUGGUCCUGUCACUUAAUUAUUUUACCUCUGAUUACUUAGCUAUUAGUGACACUAAUUAAAAUCUGUCUUGCCCUUAGAUGUAUGAAGCUGUUUAUAAAAUGCUUCGAAGGCAAAUUGUUCCAAGAUCUAUUAAUUCUGGUAAGAGCCGUGUCAGCUUCAGUUACAUGCUCAUAAAUGUAAACCCAACCUGGUUGGUCAAUAAUCUCCAGGGAUGGUCAAAAUUGCUCAGGUGGCUUUAUAGAAAAUGUGUAUGGGGGGACAUGAAAAGAUUGUUGGAAAGGCCCAACUAAAGAUAGAUAAUAAAUGGAACUCUACUGGGCAGGAGGAGGGCAGGAAAAAGAAGCUAUUAUUGAGCAGCAGGUAUGUACUGUAUUAUACAAAGGAGUGAUUUAGGUUGGGUUAGUGAGGUAUUUGGGAGGAGGCUAUUAAAUAUGAAAGCUGCAUAAGGCUUAAUAGGAUUGACUAAACAAGGUUCCAGCCAUGCCUGCUUCAGGUCCCCUUUCUUGCUUUUUCUGGCUAUCCUAAUGCUAUUAUCUGGGAGGACUGAGCAAAUGAAGAUGAAAGUUGGCUCUUCCAGUUUCUAGUUUGUUGGGCUCAUGGGCCUUUACCUUAGGACUCUUUCUUCAGAAUGUCAUUUUACAUAAUACAUAUUGAAUAUGCAGACCAUAUUUAAUUUGCCAAAUAGAUUAAAAAACUAACUCACUCACUAGUAAACCUGGUUUUCUCAGAUGAUGCAUGAAUAGGUACAUUUCCGAUGGCUAUGGUUGGCUGGAUAAGUAAAGGUUUCAUUCAUUCACUUGUGCAAUAAACAUUGAGCAAGGAAGUGCCAUGUGCUUGAUAUUGUUCUAGGUGAUGGGGAUACAGGGUGCGGAGACAAGGUCUCUGUAUUCAGUGACCUUACAUUUUAGUGGAGGGACAGCUUGCAAAAACAGUAAAUAUUUUCUAUAAAUAAAACACUAAAUAUUUUUUUUUCAUUUGAAAAAGCAUAUCCUAUAUGGAAACCCCAACAUAUGAUAGAAGUAAAAAAAUAUUCACAGCAGUUGAUGUAUUGAGAAGUGUGUGUGUGUGCGCAUGUGCAUAUGGGGGUAUGUAUGGUGUCAGAGCCAUCUCUACCAAUUUAGGCAAAUUAUAACAAAUUGAUUACAAAAUGGUGCUUGUCACAAGACAGAAAUAAAGCACAAUGUUAAAAAUCAAGUGAUAAUUAUCUCAUUGCGAUGAGAUGGAUGCUGCCGCUGACAAUCUCAUUAAAGCAUCUAUAAUCUGUUUGAAUCAUCCCCUUGAGUCAUUGAUCAUGGCAUGAACGAGGUCAAUUUCUUUAUUUUUGCUUUGUUUCUUUUCAUCUUUUCUUAUUGCUUUGAUUUCCUCUGUUUAUUAAAUUACAAAAUAAUAUCUCACAAUUAUAAAGCUGUAGGGAAAGGCCCAUGCAUUUUUGUUCUGGAUAGCUCAGUCACAUACAGAUCCAGAAACCAUGGCAAGGGCUCUCUCUGGAGACUGUCAGACACUCUGUGGAUGAGCUUAUCACACUCAGACGAGGGACAGUUGGAUGCUGCACAUCAGGAGAUAACUGCAAAUGGAUUUCUAGUCUAUUCUUGAGUUCCAUUUGGCUCUGAAAGUAUUUAUUUAUGUUUUAUUGCAGCAUUUAGGCAUGUUUUUAGAUAUAUAAAAUAAUACAUAAUAGGUUUGUUUCUAACAAGAAAGGUAAGUCAUUACAUUCUGGUAAUAAAUAAAAAAAAUAUUUUUUGGCAUUUUUAAGCUGUUUAUAACAUGGCUCAGUCUUAAAAGAAGUCCCUUUAUCUUAUUUUUCAUGUGGCCAUGCAGGUUCAGAAUGUUCGAGCUGCAUAUAUUGAUGAGAUAAUGCUCUUAUAGGAAGCCACUUGAAAUCAUAGAAAUGGCCAUGAAGAAAUUACUUUUUAUCUCAUCUCUCAUUUCAAAACCUCCUUCCUCAUAAAAGUCAAAAUAUGUCACUAUCAGUGAUUGCAAUGUCAUCCUGUUCCCAGUUUUCACCAUUUCCUUUGUGGUGGUGGGUGCUGUGGUAUUCACUACCCAUCCGCCUCUGGAAAUGAAGGAAGGAUUCACCCCCUUCUCCAUGUUCCUGGAAUUGCUCUUGAAAACUGAGCUCAGCUUUCCUCCCUUUGUGGGGAUGCCUUGGCUGUGGAAAACUACCUCACCCAAGCUCACUCCUCCUCCCAGGGCUGAUUGAUCCAGGUAGAGAGGCCCAGUCCCUUCAUCCAAACUCAGGACAUCUCUGAAGAGACAUCCCAGCUUCAGAACUCCCCACAUGGUUGGCUUAAGCCUAAAUCACAGCUCGAAUUCUCUCUCUGAUCAAUCCUGCUUCCUUUUUUUCCUUUCCACAGGUGUUGAUUUAAUAGAAAGUCCUGAAAAACAUCCUGCACAUUAAUAUGUAUCUCAAGUCUGCAUCCUGGGGAACCCAACCUGUGAUAGCCGUCAUCAUAAAAGAGGAGAAAAUCACUGGAAUGGGAUUUUUGGAUCUAGAUUUUGAGCUGUUUGGUGGUAAUGAGGAUCCCAUCACUGGUGGUAGGUGGAAUAUAGAUAGUUGCUGGCUCAAUGUGGCAGCACAAUUAUUAAGACUUUUACCAAUCAUGAAUGGGGAUGGUACACAUAUGGGAGAUAGAUCCUACAGUGUAUUAAACUUUUGAGAAACACAGUAGAAAUGGUAACUUUAAAGACAACAGAUUUUGGUCACUAUAACUAAACUCCAUUCUCAUAAAAGAUACAGAAAAGUUAAUCAUGAUGACUUGGCAAUUAAAACCUAAGUGUGAAAUUCAGAGGGCAGCAUAUGAAGAGGUUUUCAUCUCCUUCCGUGGAAGAGAAAGCUGCAAGGAUCAGGCUGAAGAUUUAAUUCUAAAAAUAGAUGAGCACCAAAGAAGACCAAACUAACAAAGGCUGGUCGGAUAUUGUAAAGUUAAGAUCUUGGUUAGAAAAGAGUGGGAUGCUGAGAAUUGGGAAGGGGACUUCUGGGUUGUUGCAUCCAAGAAUCUUCUGUCCUGAAAUCACUGGGACCCUCUGAACCUGUAGAAGUAGCCCACAUCUCCCUGGAAGGCUUGACAUUCCCUUCUUACCUGAAGAUGAUGCAGAGUCUUCUCCAUGUUAGACAACACCUGCCUCUUUCCCAUAGAAUCUACUCUCCCCUCCUUUUUUGUCCACGAGGUCAAUGACUAGGGCUAAGACACAACAUAAGCUGAGGACAUGCUGGGCCUGCCUGGGGAGGGAAGGAGUCAUGCUCUGAAGGAACUGUAGGAUAAGUCAACUUGUAGGACCCAGGGAAGGACUGGAUUGUGGAGAAUGCAGAAACAAGGAGAACAGAUUAUUCAUUCAGUUAAAGAGAGCUUAUUGAUAUGUGAGCCCUCUCCUGGGACACAGGAUUUUAAUGUUCUUGGAGGACCCCCCAGAAAAUGGUAUAAACAUGCUGCUAGGAUGGCCCCCUAGAAAAAUGGAAAAAAUGGUCAUUCACACCAAUUGGAGCAAAAAUGACCGAAUUUCUGUAGCAGAUGGUGAUAAAAGGAGUAGUGCAAAAAGCUCAGCAAAGUGGGCACAUGAGAGUGUAUGUGCUAUGUAAGGGUGACAAGGGUCACAGGAUGACUGUUUUGCAGAAGGAUCAGGAGGCUGGGCACAGUGGUGCAUGACUCAGGAGGUUGAGGC
rnacentral:lncRNA from 1 species